ensembl:lncRNA
GCAGGAAACGCCCACUUUUUGCAAACGUCUGCUGUAAUUGCUAACAUUUAAACAUCCAGUCUACAAUAAAUAAUAAGUCUAUUCAAUGAAAGUAAAGGUCAGUUGUUUAAUCAAAAAUGUUAAAGAAAUGAAUGAAAUAAUAAUUUAAAAAAAUUGGUUGAUCAAUUUAGUUUAAUACAGGUUCUCAUAUUCAUGGCUUUAUUUUCCUGUAAGGUGACAAGUGAUAAUCUCAAAGUUUUCUGGAUUUCUUAUCAUUCUUAUAUGAUUACUUGCUCUUUUUUUCCUACUGUGGGUUUUAGUCCAUCAUCCUGAUGGUGGUGGUUGAGG